rnacentral:lncRNA from 1 species
UCAAUAUUAGAAAAGACCUUCAGGAUGAUCCAGUCCAAGUGUUCACCCAGCGCUGCCACUGUAACCCCUAAACCUCAGCAACAAAUGCAAGAUCCAGACACCUGAACAUCUCCCUGGCAGCCUAUUCCAAUGCCCGAGCUCCCAAACAAUCAAUACAUUUUUCUCCAAACAUAAUUUGAAUCUGCCCUGUCUCGGCUCAUGACCUCACACCAUCUGCUGUGUCCCUCUCCCCUGUAGCUCCCAUAUUUCCUGCAGGGAUGUGCUGGGUUUGUGGGACGCCACUGAGCGCUCAGGCUUGCACAGCUCUGAAAUAAAUAAUUCACUGUGUCUCGAGUGUGUCAUCAUUGGCUUGGUGCACACCAGGGAAUAAAUCAAUGUCCUGAGGAGGCUGUGGCUCCUGGAAAGCUGCUGGUACUGUCAGGGACAGAAAUCACAGCCCCAGGUUUUUGCUCUGAAACAGUUUUUGCUCUGAAACAACUGCAGGAAACAACACAAAUUUGGUUGUGCAAUAUUGAGGUCAGACCUGAGCGUAGCCUCUUCUUUAGGCCCUUUAUCAAAAAUCUCAUCACGAGCCCCAAAAUCCUCUCAAGUGUGUCAGGACUUUCCAUGAAUGAAGUUAAAUAUCUCCAUCCUGCUCCCAGCUCAGGCUUACAAAGCACUCUCAGACUGGCCUUGGGUAGGAUUCCUGCAAGAACAGAGCUCUCUUGCAUGACCCACGGCCAUAAAAACCACCUAGCAGCAUUGUUCAUCCCCAGAAACCUCUGUGGUGCAGCUUGUGAGGCUUUGUCAACCUGCAGAAACAGGAAGGCUGGGUGUAAGAGUUGUUGUCUCCCUGUUCUCCAGCUUGGAGUAAAAAUAGAUAUUUAAACACCCUGGAACAGAGAGCAAGAAGGAAGAGGAACAGAGGACACCAGGAAGAGGAAGCUGCAGGAUUCAAGUAUGGAGGGAAUCUCACUGAAGUUGAUGAGAAAUUCAACAAGACAUUUGUGAUUUUUGGGGAAGGACAUAACUUUUCAUCUGUUGUGGGGCUGAGCUCCCUGGGGCUGUGCCUCAGGCUGUGAACAGUGCAGAACCCCAUGGGAACGUUCUCUUUUUGACCUUCUCCAUCAUAACAAAGUGGAUGAACAGCUCAUUCCAGAGCAGAGUCUGAGCUGGGCAGUGCUUAGGGAAAGGACUGACCUAAGGACUGACAAUCCAGGUGUUUUACUGAAGCCAAGGAUGGAUUUCUUGGAUGGAUCACGAGGGAAGUGUUGGAUUGUCCAUGUGUGACCUUGGCUCUGCCCUGGAUAAACAAUCUCUCUGUGCUCACAGUAUUUUUGCAGCCCACUCCAAUUCAUCUGGACUGAGUUAAAGAAGGAGCUCAGGUUUCAGCUUGCUUAUUUACUGGGUAAAUGUUUCUUUUACAGUUAGUGUUUAAGCCUACUGGGAUGAGUACAGGCUGCCUGUUCUAACACCCUAUGCAAAUUUAUUUAGUCUCCUGUAUGCUAAAAGUGUUCAUUAGUUUUAAUAAACACAAAGAUUGGGAAAUCGAGAGCUGUAAUAAUUGCUUUACACAGCAUGGAACUUAAUAAUCAGGAAACAAACUCCUUUAAAGUCUCUUGUGUUUAUACCACUGGCAAUGAAAGUACUGCUUUUACACUGUUGUCUUCUACAGACCUGAUUUUUAGUGUUGUCAGAGUUUCCUUGAGGCCAUUACUUUGGAAAAUUAUCUGUUGGAAUUGUUGUGGUUCCUGGACUCGGUUUAAUUGCUGACUUGCUUUGUGACAUGGUAUUAUUUCAUAAAGUUACCAGUGGCCUUAACAGAUGUGUAAUGCAGCAGCUGGGGCACUGAAGUGUUUACAGUGUUCAGUUUGUGUGUAAAUCCAGGAAUACAGAAAUUGCAAAGAUGUCAGAAUUUAUGAUAGCAACCUAUUAAUCUGUCAGCAACUCUAAAAGCCUCUAAAAGCUCAAUUACCACUAAGGUGUCUCCAUGUUAUUCCCACAGCUCUGCAGGAGGGAAUCACGGUGAGGAAAGGGUGAUGCUUAUUUUGGUCAUUUCUAUUGUUUCUGUGCAUUUCCUACACCCUGUUUGUUUGGUUUCUUAACAUUUUUGCAAGUGUGAAAUUUUAAAAAACAACAACAACAACAAUUAAAUCAAUGCUCUGUCAGCCAGUUAAUCUAACCUUUUAAAAUGAUGUUUGCAGAGGAGCUAUUCCUGGUGAAUGGGAAAUUCAGCUGAGCUCUCUGGGUUUAUUUCUACAGUCAAGGGAAGGAAAGAGGUUCUUCCAGAAGGUCACUAAAUGUGCUCCUCUCUCCCCACCGACUGAAGGAAGGUCCUGCUGUCUCAAUCAGUGUUCUCUAAGCAAACCAGCCAGCCUUUAUUCCCUUACACCUUCAGAUCAGGGCAGGAAAUUCUAUUAAACCCAUAAUUACCAAGGACAGGACACAGUCAGGGCUCCUGGACAGUGGGCAGAACUUUCCCUUAGCUCCAGAGGAGGGAGCCUGGGGAAGCUGCUGAACCUCAGCAGCACUGCAGCUGUGGACUCAUCAGUGGGUGCUGAGGUAAUUAUUACCAAAUCUUAAUUAAUAGAUCUGUUCUCCCUGCCAGCAACAGAUCUCGUCCUAGUUUAUGUACUAAUAAAAUGCAUCUCAGAGAUGAGAAGUGCAGGAGUGUGCCAGCCAAGAGCUGUGAAGAAUUUGCUGUCAGCCUGGAGCCACUUUGUCCCCAUCUCAGGAGCUCCUCCAGCAGCUCAGAGCAGCAGAUACUUGGGGCUUGUCCCCACUUUCCAAAAGGCUUUUCCCCUUGAGCCCUGCACUCUGUGUUUCACAGGGAGCAGAGUUUAGGAGCAGCCUGGCAUCCAGCAGCACUGGGACGUGGGGAAAGAAGGAAUAUUUUCUGAAUUUUAAAUUAAUGUCUAUGAAAGUGCUUCUCUGCCAUUGCUUAGAGAUCUAAAUACUGCUGGAGUAGAGUUCAUUGUUUUCAUUUAAGCUUUUAUUGAUUAUUGACCCCAAAGAAAUUGCCCACAGACUGGAACACAAGAAUCUCUGCUGUGCAGAUUUGUAUUUCAUUUAAUGUGAUAGCAAAUACAGUUAUAUCAGAGAGGAGAAGCAUAUUCAGGAGACUUUCCUGAUGCUGCAGAUGGCUUUUUUGCAAAUACUGUACUGGUGAAAUCUCUGAAGGAUGGAGCAGAGUAAGUGAGGGCCACAACCCCAAUUUACAGCGCACAGAAUCAGAAAUGGAAAGGAUUUUUGGGAAGGCACUGAUUUUGUGAGUCUUGGUCUGUGUCUGUGCCCUUGUAACUGAGUGUGUAAACCCCUGGGGAUGUGCAGUGGUGCUGAGGAUGUGCAGUGCUCCUGCCCUCCCUUUUCCCAGGGGCCAGAGGUUGGGGCUGAUGGAUUUGGGGGUUUCUCUGCACUCACAGUGCAGGAUUUUAACUUUCCAGCUUUCAGAGGGCAGUGCUGCACACAUCCCUGAUGAGGCCAUGGCAACAGGAUGUGUGCACAGGGCUCAGGUGUUUCCAUGGAUAACCCAGUGAUGUCCUUCCUGCCUAUGGAAUGUUGACAUCACCUUUGAUGUGUGGAUCAAUGUGCCCAUAUGCUCUGGUUAGGAGUGAUUGAUGGGAUAGGAACUGCAGGCUGAUCCACUGAAAUAAUCUUGUUUUACAUACUAAUUGCUGUACUAUUUGAUGUUUCCUUCAAAGCAGAAGCUUUUAUCAGCAGUUUAAGUUGAGUUUGGAUGGAUUAACAAAGAUUAGAAUGGAAGUUGGAAGAAAAUAUGAAGUGUAAUACAUUUUAUGAUGUUCGUUCAGGACAAGAAAACACUUAAAAGAUUAAGUAGCAGAAUAACAAUGAAUUAUACGAUCUUUUUAAAAUUAAUAGAACUGCACUUUUUAUCUUCAAAAUAAGCCAAUGUCUACAUUAUAGAUGUGCUGGAGGAAGAACUGCUGAUUGUGGUACCUGCAUGAUACUCUGGCUGGGAUGAGCACAUGGAAAUUGGAGACCCUCGUGUCUCUGGAAGUGCUGAAGCUCUCUGGAAAUGGCAUUCAGGGUGUGCAAUUAUUGGUGUGACACAGAGCAAGGACAAAGGCUCAGUGCUGUGAUUCCCUUGUGGAUGUUUUCUUGCUGCUUAUUGAAGUGUUUGUUGUAUUCUGCUCUGCUUCCCCCUCUUUGGCUGUGGAUUCAUCACCUGCAGUUGAAGUGCUCACUGAAGAGUUGUGUUCAUCCGACAAAUUCACUGACUGUCACCUGGCUGGGCCAGCUGUGUCACUGAGCAGAGACAAUGUGGGCAGUCACUUCCUUUUUUUCUAAAUGCAGGAUUGCCCUGUGUACACAUUUCCUCCCUUGACUACUGCUGUGCUCUCCUUAAUGAAAUAUUUAUUUGAAACCCCUUUCCCAUUUGAUUUUUUUGCUUGCAUCCUAACGAGACGUGACAGGGGGAUAGCAGACUGCUAAAGCAUGGAGACCUGUAAAUAAAGGAACUGCUCCAUCUUAUUAAAUUUGUGAGGCAAAAAAAACCACAGAGAGGCCUGUUUCAUAUGCUAUUAGAUUAUUUCCUCACAGUCACAGGUAUUUUGGUGACAGUGGUUCAGAUUUAGUGGCUUUUUAAUGUAUCAAACUUAAUUUUCUUGCUGCAGCUCUGUCAGUCAUGAACUCAAGUUUUCUUCUUUGCUUUUUAAUUAUCUCACAGAUUAAUAUAUUAAAAAUGGGCUCAUUUUUAUGCCUCAAAUUAAGAUAGCUCUGUUUCAGCUUUUUCUCAAUUACUGCUGUAAUUAAGACCCAUUAACCCAUGGCAGAGAAUAAAAUAAGAAAGUAGAAACAAAAAUUAAAAAGGGGGGGAGAGAAGCCCUUAUUUGGCUUCCUUAAUCAUAAAUUGCUUAAAACUCUUUCUGGAACAGCCAUUAGAAGGAGAUUUAUUAAGGAACUUGACAGCCUCU